UACAGAGGGGGCAAGCGUUGUUCGGAAUUACUGGGCGUAAAGGGCGCGUAGGCGGCCUUCUAAGUCAGACGUGAAAUCCCCGGGCUCAACCCGGGAACUGCGUCUGAUACUGGAAGGCUUGAAUCCGGGAGAGGGAUGUGGAAUUCCAGGUGUAGCGGUGAAAUGCGUAGAUAUCAGGAGGAACACCUGCGGUGUAGACGGCUUACUGGACGGUAACUGACGCUGAGGCACGAAAGCGUGGGUAGCAAACAGG
rnacentral:rRNA from 1 species